AGGCGUGAGCCACCGCACCCGGCCGAUAUUACAAAAUCUUUCCUGAGGCUGGAAGUCCAGAAGUCGGGGUGCUGGCAGGACGUGCUCUUCUGAAGCCUCCAGGGCAGGGCCAGCCGCAUGCCCGUCUCCUCGCUUGGGCACCUGCCAGCGGUCCCCGGCGGUCCCCGGCUCAUUGCUGCAUGGCUCCAACGUCCGCCUCUCCCACCAUGUGGCCUCCUCCUGGUGUCUCUGUGUCCAAAUCUCCCGCUCUGUCUAAGGAUAACAGUCACUGGUCAUGGGACCCAUCCUAAUCCAGGGUGACCUCGUAUUAACCUCAUCACAUCUGCAAAGACUAUUUCCAAGUCAAGCCACACUCCCAGCUGCUGGGGGCGGGACUUGAACAUAUUUUUUGUGGGGACACAAUUCCCCUCUCAGGUUUUAAGAUUUGUCUUUAUCAUUAAAGUUUUCAAAACUAAC
rnacentral:lncRNA from 1 species